rnacentral:rRNA from 1 species
GAUGAACGCUGGCGGCGUGCUUAACACAUGCAAGUCGAACGGGAGACCUUUUAUUGAAGCUUCGGCAGAUUUAGCUGGUUUCUAGUGGCGGACGGGUGAGUAACGCGUGGGUAACCUGCCCUAUACAGGGGGAUAACAACCAGAAAUGGUUGCUAAUACCGCAUAAGCGCACAGGACCGCAUGGUCCGGUGUGAAAAACUCCGGUGGUAUAGGAUGGACCCGCGUUGGAUUAGCCAGUUGGCAGGGUAACGGCCUACCAAAGCGACGAUCCAUAGCCGGCCUGAGAGGGUGAACGGCCACAUUGGGACUGAGACACGGCCCAGACUCCUACGGGAGGCAGCAGUGGGGAAUAUUGUACAAUGGGGGAAACCCUGAUGCAGCGACGCCGCGUGAAGGAAGAAGUAUCUCGGUAUGUAAACUUCUAUCAGCAGGGAAGAUAGUGACGGUACCUGACUAAGAAGCCCCGGCUAACUACGUGCCAGCAGCCGCCGUAACAC